UACGUAGGGUGCAAGCGUUGUCCGGAAUUAUUGGGCGUAAAGAGCUCGUAGGUGGUUCGUCGCGUUGUCCGUGAAAACUCACAGCUCAACUGUGGGCGUGCGGGCGAUACGGGCAGACUGGAGUACUGCAGGGGAGACUGGAAUUCCUGGUGUAGCGGUGGAAUGCGCAGAUAUCAGGAGGAACACCGGUGGCGAAGGCGGGUCUCUGGGCAGUAACUGACGCUGAGGAGCGAAAGCGUGGGGAGCGAACAGG
rnacentral:rRNA from 1 species